AUAAGAAACUUGCUCCGAAGUCCAAAAACAACCAGACUUUGUAAGCAGUUCCAAAGAGAAGCCCUAUUCAUGCUGGGGAGGCAGUACCUGUGGGGGAUGAGAAGGUCCUUCACUCAGACAACCAGAGCGGGAAUCCCAGCACCACAUCAGCGGACAGCCACCAAGUUUGGGGUGAUUUGCUACAGAAGCCACAGGAAAGACAGCCAGGAGAAUGGCUCAUGAGGCCCAUUUUCCUUAUGAGGAAAUACAGGCUCAGAGAGCAGCAGCGACUUGCAUGGAGACACACAGCACAUCCAGAGAAAAAAGCAUCCCAAGGGCACUGGUAGGUAGCCCAGCCUGCUGUUUGGAGCCCUCGAGGGCAUGGCAGGGACCUUCGGACCUUCUGCCCCAUCCCGCCAUCCAUGCCACUGAGUGCCCGAAGCACACCUGCGCCGCCGCACCUCCCCGGCUCCGUCUGAGCUUCUUGUCCCCAGUGUUCCCUUCUCCAAGAGGCCUUUCAUCUUCGCAGCUUUGUUUCCCCAACAUCCCUGACUCUCCUGUGAAAUGCAAAUGAAUUAGCGUCUAAUUACUCACUCCGUGCUGCAGCUAGAGCCUUCUCUUGUUAGGGUCCUGUCCAACAUUUCUCUCAUCAGCCCAGAACUCAGCCCGUUAGGAGGAAUUCCUGCUGGAGGGAGGUGGGCAGUCCCUCGCCCCUCCCUCUUUCCCUCCGGGACUUGUCAGCAAACACCUCAUCCGUGGAUUCCAGAAACACACCCGCCUGGUUGGGGUAGUUCCACUCACCACUCACUCUCAUUACCAGAAUCGCUUCUGCCCUGGCAAUUGUGCCAGGGCUGCGCUGGGUCCAGGAAUGAGACCCAGCCCCUGCCCUCCAGGAGGCUGCAUGUGUAACCGGGCAUGACAGUGGCUGAUGAAAUGAGGAACAUGCCCUAGGGCAUAGUGCAGCCUUUCCACUGCGACGGGCGGUUUCAGUCUAGGAGGUAAAUGGUAGACAGCUGGAGUCCAUGCUAAGACUUAGAGUGCAAACUUUAAGUCAUGGAGACGCAGUGUGGUACCGGAGGAAGAGCACAGGGCUCCAGCCUACCACUCUCUGCAAGACUCUGGGCCUUGAC